GUUGUGGAUUGCAGUAGCGACCAGGGUGGUGGCGACGACCAGGGCCCCUGCUCCUGGCUGCGCAACAGGAACAAGCGAUUGGCUGCCAAGGGGUGCAGUUGUUGCUCAUCGCCAUCUACCUUCUGUAAUCCCAUCUCCUACAAUCUUCGCGUUUACGAUCACUGUCACCUCCUUUCUUAGUCAGCACGGAGGCAGUUGUGGUUGUCUGAUACGAGGCGAUGGCUGCUGCACCCAAUGCCUUCUCGGCUCAUUUGGAGAAGUAGAUCGUUGAGCAGAUAAAAGAUUCCAUCGUUUUUGUGGAUGUCUUUCCCAACUUGGACUACAAAGACGAUUUGGAAAAUCUUAUGGCUGCGGUGAAAACUGUUCCAGUGAAGAAAAGAGAAGAGGUGCUGAAACAGGGACAAUCUGGCACUGGCUCUGUUGUGGGAGUUACAGAAGAUGAAAUCACCAUCCUAUCA